rnacentral:tRNA from 1 species
GGUGCCGUAGCUCAGUAGGAUAGAGCGGUUCUCUCCUAAAGAACAGGCCGUGGGUUCGAUUCCCGCCGGCACCGCCA